GGCAGGUUCUGGUGAGCAAUGUGAUAGGAACUUGUGAGGAAGUGAUGUUGGAGGAGCCCUUCCUCUCAGGCUCUCAGAUGUUAGGAAUGUGGCCAUGGGUCUCAGGGGGCAGAGCAUUUUGUUCCAGUAUGGUGGUUUGGUGAAGUGCCACCAAGCUUUUGACACCAAUUGAGUUGGAAGGAGGAGGAAUUGCAUCGCUUGAGAGAACAUAGGAUGGGGUCUUUACAAGGCUCAAGUUAUGGCAGAUUUGUGUACUCCUGGAGCUACUGCCUUGCACAGAGCAUGGUGCACCGGGACCUGAAGACAGACAACAUCCUUCCAGAGGCAGCAUCAAGCUCUGUGACUUUGUCCUGGUCUGCAGUUUCAUGGCUGGGCAGUAGCUGGACGUGUUCUGUGCCACCGUCACCUCCUGGGCCCCAGAGCUGUACCAGGGGCAGGAGAACGUAGGCCCCAUGGUAGACAUCUGGAGCCUGGGUGUCCUCCUGUACCGCAUGCUCAUGGGGUGACUCCUGUUUAACGGCACCACCUUGGCGCAGUUCAAGAAGCAGGUCCUGCAGGCCCGGUACAACCUCCCGUCCAACUUGUCCAUCAAGGUGCGAAGCCUCAUCUCCCAGAUGUUGACCAUGGAGGCCAAGCACAGGCCCAUGCUAGAGCAGAUCCUGGGGCACCCUUGGCUGAGCCAGGGUGAGUCCUCCUGCUGCGCUUCUCCCCAAGUACCCAGAUCCCACAUCUUGCUGCCCAUGUUGGACCUGGGUUAUGGGCUGCAGGAAACCUGGGUGUCAGUGACGAACUGCCCAUUUGAUGAAGCCAUAGCGACCUACCUCAUGCUCCACUGCCAGAAAACCCAGGGGUGCGGGGUGAGCUGUAAGGUCCAGCUGCAGCCUGGGCCGGCCCAUGCCCCUCCAUCCCUUCCAGAUUCACUCUGGACCCAAGGAGGGGCACCAGCAGGCUGGCUCUUUGCUCCUGGCCCCUCUUGCCCCGCCUGCAGGUGCUGCCUGAGCAGCACAAGAUGUCAGGGCAGAGGGCAGCAGAAGAACCAGCCUGCCUGCCGCUCCCCUGAGUGACCUGCCGCCUAGUGCCCCUACUCCCAGCCUUGUGGCCCCUCUGCUCGGCUGCUGGCCAAGCGGCAGCAGGCGGGAGGCAGAAAGCAAGUCCUCCCAGGCCAUGGCAUCCAACCGAGCUCCCACUCCACCCAGCAAACCCCACCACACACACACAACCGGGACCCCUGGCUUUGCUGGUGACACCACCAGGGGCUGGAGAGGAGUGGCCAAGAGGAUGGCCGCCUGUCUGGCAGCCUCUGUUGCUGUGUGCAGGCCCCCAAGACUGGCCCUGAAAACAAACAGUGGCUCCCGGGCCAGGAGGACACACACCACCUGCACCUUUGGACCCAGUGACUCCCCCCAGUGGAGGGCAGGACCACAGAAGGUGGUUCAGGAGUAGAGUGGCUCCCUGGGGGCACACAGCUGAGACACCAGCAAAGCCAAGUAGGAGGGGCACUGCUGCCUUUGAUCUCACAUGUGCUUUGCUUGAUGUCCUUUUCCAAAGCACAAAUCAGCUCCGUGCACACUUCUGGGGUGCUGUGAGGUUUAGGUCAAUCUGGGCGCCAUGGGGUGGUUGACUCUUGCCCAUUCACUUAUCUGUGUCCUCAGUCAGAUCCCAUGGGGUCUCACCUAGGAGGAGCUGCAGCUGCUGGAGGGAGACGAGCAACCUGCUGUGGCUGCUGCCUCAUGCAAUCCAGGCCGCCAGACUCCAGUGGCCUCUCCGCCCCAUGGGAAUAGACAUUAGGGACCUUCCUGGGACUUGCCCCUGUGCUGCCUUCUCUGCUCUUUCUCCCAGGUUCCUGGGGUAGACAUGCUUUUCAGUAAGUUCCUAAUACAUUUCCAUCUCUCCCAGAUCUUAUCAUAAAUUUGGUGCUCCAUUCCUUGGCCUCCUCCCUGCAGCAUCAGAAGAGUGGGUGGUAAUGUCGUUAUAGGAAUGUGUAAGUUGGUAGUGACUUUAGAGACCUACUAAGGUCCACCAAGGGCAACACGUGACUUAAAGUGGACAAGACUCUGAGCUGCCUGGGGGCAGAAAUGUGGACCUUUUGUGUGACCUGACACAGAUGGUGCCCGGCUGCCAAUAUCAGAAGGGAACCAUUGACAGGAGGAGCCAUCAGCUAGCAUACUCCUGGGGAGACACUCAGAAUAGCUCAAGGAGACCCCGUGGUGCAGACCAGGAUGGGAGUCUGGGUA
rnacentral:lncRNA from 1 species